rnacentral:rRNA from 1 species
GACGAACGCUGGCGGCGUGCUUAACACAUGCAAGUCGAACGGAAAGGCCCUGCUUUUGUGGGGUGCUCGAGUGGCGAACGGGUGAGUAACACGUGAGUAACCUGCCCUUGACUUUGGGAUAACUUCAGGAAACUGGGGCUAAUACCGGAUAGGAGCUCCUGCUGCAUGGUGGGGGUUGGAAAGUUUCGGCGGUUGGGGAUGGACUCGCGGCUUAUCAGCUUGUUGGUGGGGUAGUGGCUUACCAAGGCUUUGACGGGUAGCCGGCCUGAGAGGGUGACCGGCCACAUUGGGACUGAGAGACGGCCCAGACUCCUACGGGAGGCGCAGUGGGGAAUAUUGCACAAUGGGCGGAAGCCUGAUGCAGCAACGCCGCGUGCGGGAUGACGGCCUUCGGGUUGUAAACCGCUUUCGCCUGUGACGAAGCGUGAGUGACGGUAAUGGGUAAAGAAGCACCGGCUAACUACGUG